GAUGAAGAACGCAGUGAAAUGCGAUAAGUAAUGUGAAUUGCAGAAUUCAGUGAAUCAUCGAAUCUUUGAACGCAUCUUGCGCUCCUUGGUAUUCUGAGGAGCAUGCCUGUUUGAGUGUCAUUAAAUUCUCAACCGCACUGACUUUGAAUUGGUGUGGCUUGGAUUUGGGGGGAAAAUUGUUGUGGGCUUUUUUGUAUAGUCUGCUCCCCUGAAAUUGAUUAGCGGUACCUUUGUGGAACUGUCUACAGGUGUGAUAAUUAUCUACAUCCUAGACAUCUGCUGGAAUGCUGCUUUCUAAACCUUACUUGUAUUGACAAUCUUGACCUCAAAUCAGGUAGGACUACCCGCUGAACUUGAGCAUAUCAAUAAGCGGAGGA
rnacentral:misc_RNA from 1 species